ensembl:ncRNA C13G3.6 ncRNA
AACGCGAGAAAUAGAAGAAGAGUAGGGUAAAUUGAUGAUAGAAAAGAAAUCUAAAGGAGCAAGACAGGCGCAGAGAAGAAAGAAGGUCGUUUUUUCUGUGAGAAAUAAAGAAAAUG